AGUGAACGCUGGCGGUAGGCCUAACACAUGCAAGUCGAACGGCAGCACAGUAAGAGCUUGCUCUUACGGGUGGCGAGUGGCGGACGGGUGAGGAAUACAUCGGAAUCUACUUUUUCGUGGGGGAUAACGUAGGGAAACUUACGCUAAUACCGCAUGCGACCUACGGGUGAAAGCAGGGGAUCUUCGGACCUUGCGCGAUUGAAUGAGCCGAUGUCGGAUUAGCUAGUUGGCGGGGUAAAGGCCCACCAAGGCGACGAUCCGUAGCUGGUCUGAGAGGAUGAUCAGCCACACUGGAACUGAGACACGGUCCAGACUCCUACGGGAGGCAGCAGUGGGGAAUAUUGGACAAUGGGCGCAAGCCUGAUCCAGCCAUACCGCGUGGAUGAAGAAGGCCUUCGGGUUGUAAAGCCCUUUUGUUGGGGAAGAAAAGCAGCAGGUUAAUACCCCGCUGUUCUGACGGUACCCAAAGAAUAAGCACCGGCUAACUUCGUG
rnacentral:rRNA from 1 species